GGGACAAGGUGGGCCCAGCGGGGAGCCUUGGGGCCCUGAUCGCCCCUCCUGAGCGGCUCAGACUGGGGAGUGGGGCCAGGGCGGGGCUCGGCGGCUGACUGCAGGGACACGUUUCUGUAUGACACGCUGGUGUCCGCUCGUGCUUGUGAGUGUGGAGGACGAGUGCCGGACCCCGGGUUACUUCUGUGUAACCAGCAUCGGGACCUGGAGACAGCGUCAGCGCACACCCCCAGCCGUCCUUAAACUCACCUGGGCAAGGUGCACAGCCCUGCGUGCUCGGGGGGAGGCUGCCACGCUUCCGCUCGCUGCAGUGACACAUCCCGUUGUGUUCUGAGCUGGCGGCAGCUGCUCUGCAGUCAUUGCUUGCUUUAAUCCUCAUGAGGUGCAGAUGUCAAAUUCAGACCCCAAGUUUCCAGCUGCCUGCUGUGCCCGCUGCUCCUCACCGAACUGCCAGAGACGCUGCUCCCCCUCCCCCAGUUCCCCCAGUUCCCCAGUGGCGCUGGCUCAUGCCAAUCUUUUUGGGAGGCUCCCUGUAGCCCCUGGUGGCAGCCGCUGCAGCCGCCUCCUUGGGUGUGUGGCAGGAUGUGUGCCCCUCCCUGUCCCCUCUCCCGUCAGCCCCAGAUGUGGAGUGUGAGCGAGAAACAGACGUGGGAAGCCUGGGGCUCGUCUCUGCAGCGUGGCCUGGCAGCUCAGGGCCUUGCUUGCGAGACACAUCAUCCAUCACACGCCCAGACGUAGCGCUGAGAACGUUAAAACGGCCAUCUUUGCUUUAUUGACAGGUGGAUUUUUCAAAAAUGUUCUCACAAUUCAAUAAUUACAAAGACUCAGACUUACAUUAAAAAAGUAAAACCCAGAACCCCCCGCAGGUGCCAGCCCCAGCAGAGGCCCGGGAGGGCGUGGGGUGGCAGGGUCCAGGCCCAGCGGUGCCACUCAGUGCCGACUCGCGCCAAGUGUACGUCCUGUACAGCUGUGUCGAGGAUGUCCCUGUGGGAGCAGGGAGAGGCUGGUCGGGGACCGUGCCUGCGUCUCGGGCUGUAUCUGUGUCACGAGCUGUAUCUGCUGGCCGCUUGCGACAGGCCUCGGGCGCCAGGGCCGCAGACUUGACAUGCAGUGUGACACAGGACGCUCGUGGGCAGGAGCGUGGUGGGAUUUCUACUUGAUGGACGCUGGGCUACUGGUCAUUGGGGCUCCAUGCGGGUGGGCUUCCCAGCACCUCGCCCCCAGCACCCCAGGGCCUGCCUGCGCUGGGUCACAGAUGCCAGAGAGCAGGCGCCAUGGAAGGAGGGAAAGCAGCGAGGAGGCAGUGGGCUCCCGGCAGAGGGUCCUGGUGAGACGCAGGGGCUGGGCCUGGGGCUGGGGGGGCAGACACACUGGACUCGGGAUGGGGGCCUCAGGGCAGUGGGCCUGACCCCAGCCUGAGGGUCGGCAGCAAGACCCCUGCAGCAAACACACACUGGCUGCAGGCAGAGGCCACCCGGCCUGGCUUUCCCUGGUUUUCCAGUUCUAGACACUGGGAUGACAGCCAGCUUCCGACUGCUCUCCUGGGGUCCUAGGAAGCGGGGAAGAGGAUGGGCUGCGGCAGGUCCUGAGUGGCCUGUCUCCUGGCGGGGGCUGCCUUCUGUCUGAGGCCCCCCCUGGGCGCCGGGCCUUCGUGUGCAAACGGAACAGCAUCGGCUCCUGGCUGUGCAGGCGGUGGGGACUCCCGCCGCGAAUAGAAAUCAUUAUUACAAUAAACAUUUGUCUUCAUCUUCAUAUCUA